rnacentral:lncRNA from 1 species
CAAACUACCUAGCAUGGUCCCAACAAGUCUCUCUCGUUCUCACUCUUCAAAAGUUGAUUUGACAUGUUGAUGGAACCACUUCCAUAUCACCCGAAACUGUUCUUGAGGCCGAUAAACCUGUCCCAAACCCUGCUCGUACUGAAUGGUUAACCAAGGAUCAAUCGGUAUGUCUCCUUCUUCAGUCCUCUCUCUCCGAGGAAGCCAUGUCCGAAAUUAUUGGCAUCUCUAAUGCUCGUCAGGUCUGGCUUGCCUUGGAAACAGCAUAUAGUCACUGUUCCACUAACCGUAUGCAUAUCUUACGUGAUAAUCUUGUGACAACCCUCACCAAACCAGGUCGUUACGCAGCAGGUUGACUGGGAGAUUUCUAUUUCGAGACGCACUUCAGGAACUAAGGAUCUGGCACGGUAUGCUACGUUUUCACACUGCGUAGAGUUAUGGGAUCAUCCGAGUUUAGGGGUUGUGGCUUUUACCUGGACGAGUCACAGUUCUUAAACUGCGUCUAUUUUAUGUUUGUGGUUAUGUCUUCUGAACAAUGUUUUCAUUUUGUAGUGUUGUAAACUCGACGCAUGUGUCAGCAUUAUAAGACAAUGAUGUGGUACUUUUAUUUUAAAACAUAAAUCAAUGGAUGAUCUGCAU